rnacentral:rRNA from 1 species
AUUGAACGCUGGCGGCAGGCCUAACACAUGCAAGUCGAGCGGAAACGAGUUAUCUGAACCUUCGGGGAACGAUAACGGCGUCGAGCGGCGGACGGGUGAGUAAUGCCUAGGAAAUUGCCCUGAUGUGGGGGAUAACCAUUGGAAACGAUGGCUAAUACCGCAUGAUGCCUACGGGCCAAAGAGGGGGACCUUCGGGCCUCUCGCGUCAGGAUAUGCCUAGGUGGGAUUAGCUAGUUGGUGAGGUAAGGGCUCACCAAGGCGACGAUCCCUAGCUGGUCUGAGAGGAUGAUCAGCCACACUGGAACUGAGACACGGUCCAGACUCCUACGGGAGGCAGCAGUGGGGAAUAUUGCACAAUGGGCGCAAGCCUGAUGCAGCCAUGCCGCGUGUAUGAAGAAGGCCUUCGGGUUGUAAAGUACCUUCAGUCGUGAGGAAGGCGGCGUCGUUAAUAGCGGCGUUGUUUGACGUUAGCGACAGAAGAAGCACCGGCUAACUCCGUGCCAGCAGCCGCGGUAAUACGGAGGGUGCGAGCGUUAAUCGGAAUUACUGGGCGUAAAGCGCAUGCAGGUGGUUUGUUAAGUCAGAUGUGAAAGCCCGGGGCUCAACCUCGGAAUAGCAUUUGAAACUGGCAGACUAGAGUACUGUAGAGGGGGGUAGAAUUUCAGGUGUAGCGGUGAAAUGCGUAGAGAUCUGAAGGAAUACCGGUGGCGAAGGCGGCCCCCUGGACAGAUACUGACACUCAGAUGCGAAAGCGUGGGGAGCAAACAGG